AUACCUUUCUCGGCCUUUUGGCUAAGAUCAAGUGUAGUAUCUGUUCUUAUCCGUUUAAUAUCUGAUACGUGGGCCAUUGGCUCACAUGAUAUUAAAUUAAUUUUUCUUUGGGGGAGGUUCCACCUACAGUAGCUUGCUAUUGGGGACCUCAAGUGUCGCCCAUGCGUUGCACUACUGCACGGGCCUGACGCACCCCUA
rnacentral:snRNA from 1 species